GCCUGGCUGGCUCAGUCAGUGGAGCAUGUGACUCUUGAUCUCAGGGUCGUGAGUUCAAGCCCUACGUUGGGGG
rnacentral:tRNA from 1 species